UGGGGAAUAUUGCACAAUGGGCGAAAGCCUGAUGCAGCAACGCCGCGUGAGUGAUGAAGGCCUUCGGGUUGUAAAGCUCUGUCUUUUGGGACGAUAAUGACGGUACCAAAGGAGGAAGCCACGGCUAACUACGUGCCAGCAGCCGCGGUAAUACGUAGGUGGCAAGCGUUGUCCGGAUUUACUGGGCGUAAAGGAUGCGUAGGCGGAUUUUUAAGUGAGAUGUGAAAACCCUAAGCUUAACUUGGGGACUGCAUUUCAUACUGGAAAUCUAGAGUGCGGGAGAGGAGAAUGGAAUUCCUAGUGUAGCGGUGAAAUGCGUAGAGAUUAGGAAGAACACCAGUGGCGAAGGCGAUUCUCUGGACCGUAACUGACGCUGAGGCAUGAAAGCGUGGGUAGCAAACAGGAUUAGAUACCCUGGUAGUCCACGCCGUAAACGAUGAGUACUAGGUGUAGGAGGUAUCGACCCCUUCUGUGCCGCAGUUAACACAAUAAGUACUCCGCCUGGGAAGUACGAUCGCAAGAUUAAAAAC
rnacentral:rRNA from 1 species